rnacentral:rRNA from 1 species
GCGCUCGGUGAAGUAGGUGAACAAGCUGGAAAGCUUGGCGAUACAGGGUGAUAGCCCCGUAACCGACGCUUCAUCGAGCGUGAAAUCGAGUAGGGCGGGACACGUGAUAUCCUGUCUGAAUAUGGGGGGACCAUCCUCCAAGGCUAAAUACUCCUGACUGACCGAUAGUGAACCAGUACCGUGAGGGAAAGGCGAAAAGAACCCCUGUGAGGGGAGUGAAAUAGAACCUGAAACCGUGUACGUACAAGCAGUAGGAGCACCUUCGUGGUGUGACUGCGUACCUUUUGUAUAAUGGGUCAGCGACUUAUAUUCAGUGGCAAGGUUAACCGUAUAGGGGAGCCGUAGCGAAAGCGAGUCUUAACUGGGCGCUCAGUCUCUGGAUAUAGACCCGAAACCGGGUGAUCUAGCCAUGGGCAGGUUGAAGGUUGAGUAACAUCAACUGGAGGACCGAACCGACUAAUGUUGAAAAAUUAGCGGAUGACUUGUGGCUAGGGGUGAAAGGCCAAUCAAACUCGGAGAUAGCUGGUUCUCCCCGAAAGCUAUUUAGGUAGCGCCUCGGACGAAUACUACUGGGGGUAGAGCACUGUUAAGGCUAGGGGGUCAUCCCGACUUACCAACCCUUUGCAAACUCCGAAUACCAGUAAGUACUAUCCGGGAGACACACGGCGGGUGCUAACGUCCGUCGUGGAGAGGGAAACAACCCAGACCGCCAGCUAAGGUCCCAAAGUAUUGCUAAGUGGGAAACGAUGUGGGAAGGCUCAGACAGCUAGGAUGUUGGCUUAGAAGCAGCCAUCAUUUAAAGAAAGCGUAAUAGCUCACUAGUCGAGUCGGCCUGCGCGGAAGAUGUAACGGGGCUAAGCA